rnacentral:lncRNA from 1 species
CCUGUUAUUUUCUGAAAAUUAAAUCAUUCAAAGAAUAUCUAAAUUAAGUAAACAGCCUUCCGAUUUUCACAAAUCUGAUAGAUUAUAUAAUAUACUUCUCCAUUACUGGUCUUAUUUUGUUAUAACUAAAGCAUGUAAGAAAAUUUUGCAUUUUUAAGGGUCUUUUGAAUGUUGUCCUCAGGGGUACUUUCCUUCCUGUUACCGCUGGUUUUUUUUUCACCUGUGGACACGUUUGAAAGACCAAAAAUGUAUUUAUUGUAAUGUAAUGUGAAGAGCAUCAUUUCCUGGAUGUAUGAAUCCAUUUGUUUAGGUUAAUAGCAGCCAGUUUUAAAAAACUGAACUCCCCAAAGAUCAGAAUUUGGAGAAAAAUAAUUUUGUUGAUCUCUCCUGUUACAGC